rnacentral:misc_RNA from 1 species
UGAAAGGCGAAACGUAAUGUGAAUCGCAACUAACAGUGAAUCAUCGAAUCUUUGAACGCAGGCCGCACCCAGCAAUAUCAUUAUGUGUUAUUACUGGGUAUCUACGUAUGAGUGUCAGCCCAAUAUCUCUUCAGUUCACGAUGAUGAUUUAAAGAAAUUUUAAAUCAAUUUGUGAGCUUUAUCUUGGACUCUCUAAGUAAAUAUUUAUUUAUUUUCUUUAAGAGUCUUUCAUAUUUUAUUGACUGGCCUCAUAUGUGGAAGAUUACCCGCUGGAUUUAA